rnacentral:rRNA from 1 species
UACGGAGGGUGCGAGCGUUGUCCGGAUUUAUUGGGCGUAAAGAGCGUGUAGGCGGCCAGGUAGGUCUGCUGUGAAAACUCGAGGCUCAACCUCGAGACGUCGGCGGAAACCAUCUGGCUAGAGUCCGGAAGAGGAGAGUGGAAUUCCUGGUGUAGCGGUGAAAUGCGCAGAUAUCAGGAAGAACACCCGUGGCGAAGGCGGCUCUCUGGGACGGUACUGACGCUGAGACGCGAAAGCGUGGGGAGCGAACAGG